CUGGCGGCGUGCCUAACACAUGCAAGUCGAACGAGAAUCUAAGGAACGGAGCUUCGGCGAAGGGAAUUAGAGGACAGUGGCGGACGGGUGAGUAACGCGUGAGCAACCUGCCCUUCGGAGGGGGACAACAGCUGGAAACGGCUGCUAAUACCGCAUGACAUAUACUAACGGCAUCGUCGGUAUAUCAAAGAUUUAUCGCCGAAGGAUGGGCUCGCGUUUGAUUAGCUGGUUGUGGGGUAACGGCCUACCAAGGCGACGAUCAGUAGCCGGACUGAGAGGUUGAACGGCCACAUUGGGACUGAGAUACGGCCCAGACUCCUACGGGAGGCAGCAGUGGGGAAUACUGGGGCCAAUGGGGGGCAACCCUGACCCAGCAACGCCGCGUGAAGGAAGAAGGCUUUCGGGUUGUAAACUUCUUUGACGAGGGACGAAAAAUGACGGUACCUCGAAAACAAGCCACGGCUAACUACGUGCCAGCCGCCGC
rnacentral:rRNA from 1 species